AUGGUGAUCGGCGAAAUGGAUGCUGCUCAGGUCGCAGCAUACUUCAGGGGCAAGAAUGUCCUCAUCACCGGCGCAACUGGGUUCCUUGGAAAAGUGCUCUUGGAGAAGAUACUGAGGAUCCAGCCUGAUGUCAGGAAGCUCUUCCUCUUGGUUCGAGCCACCGACGACGAAUCGGCAAGGCGGCGGGUCCAGACCGAGGUAACAGGGAGGGAGAUAUUCCAAGUUCUCAGAGAAAAGCAUGGCAAGGGUUUUGAAGAUUUCAUCGAAGAGAAGGUGUGCCCCUUGGCUGGAGACGUCAUGUAUGAGGAUUUUGGACUAGACACUGCCAAGCUGAAAGAAGUGUCCAAGGAUGUGGACAUCAUCGUCAACGGAGCUGCGACUACGAAUUUCUAUGAAAGAUACGAUGUCUCCUUCGACACCAACGUCUUGGGAGCCAAGCAGAUCUGUGCAUUUGCAAACAAGUGCACCAAACUGAAAAUGCUGCUCCACGUUUCAACUGCCUACGUAAGUGGUGAACAAGAGGGACUAAUACUAGAGAAACCAUUCAUGAUGGGGGGCACACUACGGGAGGGCACACACUUAGACAUCGAAUCCGAGCUAAAUCUGAUCAAACAUACCCAGAUUGAACUGAAAGCUAACUGUGCUACAGACAAGGCUGAGAGGAAAACCAUGAAGGAACUUGGCCUCAAGAGAGCUAGGCAUUUUGGCUGGCCAAAUACCUACGUCUUCACCAAGGCAAUGGGUGAGAUGCUGCUGGGACACCUGCGAGGCGACCUUCCGGUCGUCAUCAUCCGGCCGAGCAUCAUAACCAGCCUCCUCAAGGAGCCAUUGCCUGGAUGGAUGGAAGGAGUCAGGACUAUCGACUCGGUUUUCUUGGGUUACGCCAAGCAAGCCUUGAAAUUCUUUCUAGUAGACCCCAAUACCAUAAUGGACGUGAUUCCGGGGGACAUGGUGGUAAACUCCAUGAUGGUGGCCAUGCUGGCGCACUCAGAGGAACAAGCACAGACCAUUUACCAUGUGACAUCGUCCAUGAGCAACCCGGCCUCCUACAUGACUCUCCGGGAGACGGCCCACCGCUACUUCGUGGACAACCCGCCGCGAGGGGAGAACGGCGAGCCCAUCCGGCUGAACAAGAUGCGCUUCUUUAGCACGGUUGCAAGGCUCCGCAUCUACAUGGUCAUCAAGUACAAGCUCCCUCUUGAGAUCCUUCAUCUGGUUAACGUAGGGCUAUGUGGUGUUUUCUCAGGGCGCUACAACGAGCUCAGUGGAAAAUACAGAUUGGCCAUGCAUCUGAUCAAGCUCUAUGCGCCUUACACCUUAUUCAAAGGGCGCUUUGAUGACAUGAACCUUGAGAGGCUGAGGAAGGCGAUGGAGCAAAAUAGUGAUGGAGGAGAAUACUACUUUGAUUUCGAUCCCAAGAAAAUCGACUGGGACGACUAUUUCUACAUGGUUCACUUUCCUGGUGUGCUCAAGUAUCUGGCGUGA
rnacentral:rRNA from 1 species